AUGGCGCAGUUGUUGCAGAUAGGCCCACCUUGUUCUUUUAAAAGAUGCCCUUACUCCCAUUGUAGCUGUUGCACGAAAGGAAAGAAAAAACAACUUUGAUGGGCGAAAUCUUUCGGGAGUCGUUUGUACGGUGCAAACCAGUGCAACGGUCACGGCCGGACACACACUGCAGGUCUCGGAUGAAGACGGUGGAAACUACUAAACUAAAUAGCCUUGGCCGGUUGCUUUCGUCAAAUAAGAAAUUCAAGGAUUUUUCUGGGUACUACAAUGAUAGAUGUGAUUUGGCACGAGACGGGCCUUGCACUCUCGAGAGUCACGAUGAAAAGAGUGGAUCAACUGUGGAAUUGAAUUUCAUUUCAGAGCAGAGUACGCUAGCGAAUUAUUCAGGAAUUGGCGUGAUUUGAUCAAUUUCGUUACAUCAAUUUCAAUUCACCCUUUACACCUGAGACAGGCAAGUGCAUAGGGUUCUAGGAACGCCUCCAUCUUGCGCUUUUCUCCGCUCCUGACAUCACCGAGUACAGGCUGUGUAUACGCAUAUAUACUGCAUAUAUCCUGUCGGAGAUGGAUUCGUGACAUAUCUGAAUGGAUCGCGAGGCCUCGGCUCAGCACGGUGGUGGGUGUACCGGGCGGCGGAAGAAAAAAGGAGGAUCGUCGUACCCCCGUCUCGUAUAGGGAAAAUUGAAAACAUAAAAAGGAAAGAAAAAAGAAAGAAGAAGAAGAAGAGUAGCAGUUUCAUCAGCUCAGAGUGCACUCUCUCUUUUCCUUUUUUUCCUUCUUUCUUUCUUAGUGACUUUUUCUUUUUUCUUAAUAAAUAAAGAUCUUAUCAUCUAAUCUAUCUAAUAAAGAUCUAUUUCAGAUGAUGAGAGUGGGCUUUGUGCAGCCCUUGACGAUGAACCCCGUUGGACUCAUUGCUUCUCUAUUUCUAUCUCUUUCUUAAAAAUUGUGUCUUGUGCUUUAGCCCGGCUGUAGGGCCCAACGCCGCUGUCUGCGACCCAAAGGCGACACGAGACAAAUGAUUGAGCACGGGUCUAGUGUUAGAAGGCGACGACGACGACUUUGUGCGGUUCCUGAAAUCGUUACGCCGGAGAAAAUUGAGGACUAGGAGCUAUAGGAGCUCUGGCUUGUACAUAAUACCGGGAGAGAGAAAAAAACAGGAGCGCUCGACGUCGGCUAUAUAGUCCCGCGCGCACCGCACCAAUUCCUGUUGAUCAAACACGAAGGAGCCUAGAGUCUGAAGGGAGCGAAAAAAGAAGAAGGAGAGAAAAGCUGGGGGGGGCCGCCGCCCGUUCGGAUAACUAACUGCCGACGUCGGGGCGCCAUCACCAAUCGAUCCUGCCGUAGUCUCUACAGCCCCCAAUCUCUGACAAGACGACGAUCGAGCUGCUAGAGCGGUCGAUGAUUCUGACAAGGUGGACAUGGACCAGGAUCGGUACGAGAGUGUGUGUAGUAUACUUGACCCCCCCCCCCCACCGACACACACGUCAACUUGUUCCCCGUGACAUGGAGUGGCGGGCUCACGGAAAAUAGCGUCGUGGGUGCAUCAUCAUCUGUGUAUCGAUAUCAAAUCAGUCGCGCCAAACGACGACCAGACACACUGACGUCCAUCUGCAGUCGAUCCCUAUGAAUCGUAUUGACUGCUCCCGGUAAAUUGCAUCCCCCCUAAAAAAAGAGGGAUUUUAAUUUCAAACCCAGAAAAUCCUGUCAUCGAUCGAUUUCCAAUCUGUGGUGGACACAAGACAUUCAAAUGUCACGUCGAUUCACUCGAUCCUCCCUCCCGUUCGCCGAUUCAAUUCCGUCGAUCCUUUAAAGGAUUUUUUUUUUCCUUCAGAGUCCAAACUGUACGUGGAAUCUAAUUUGACUGCAUCCGUUUCCCCCCAUAGCGCCG